rnacentral:miRNA from 1 species
CAUAACAACAACCCUUCACAUGAAUGACAGUGAUACACCCAUGUUACAGAUGUGGAAACUGAGGUUCUGAAAAAGUCAGGGACUUGUGCAAGGGUGC